rnacentral:rRNA from 1 species
GACAGAGGGUGCGAACGUUGUUCGGAAUUACUGGGCGUAAAGCGCAUGCAGGCGGCAGCGCAAGUCGGGCGUGAAAUCCCACGGCUCAACCGUGGAAGUGCACUACGAAACUGCGCAGCUAGAGUCCUGGAGAGGAAGGUGGAAUGCUUGGUGUAGAGGUGAAAUUCGUAGAUAUCAAGCGGAACACCGGUGGCGAAGGCGGCCUU